CGCGGAACAACGGAAUGGAACGGAGCGGAACGGAGCUGGAGGCGGCGUGGAAACACGGAGUGCGGAUCCAUGGAGCGGGGAUCGGACGGGAACAAUCACAGAAUGACCCAGGUCUGUUCUGGCUCUCCAGUCUUAAGCAGAAGGAAGAACCAAAUUGCUUGUGGGCUCCGGCAGCUGUGAACCCUUCGAGCGGUCCCAGCAGAUGGUGCUGUGAUCCUUCCAGUGGGAUGAUUGUGUCCCUGGAGCUAUUCUGCAUCGUAUCUCAUACAGCAAGCAAGAGGAAAAUGGCCUUAAGUUGCACCAGGUUGGAUGUUAGAGAAACUCAGGCUGCACAGGGAGAAGUGGAGUUACCAUCCUUGGAGGUGUUCAAGGGCCAUGGAGAUGUGGCACUGAUGGACGUGGUUAUGGGCAUGGUGGGGGUGGGUUGGGGUUGAGAGAUUAAUCUCAUCUGUUAUCUACUGUCUGGCCUCAUACAGUGACUGCAGAUGUGUUUGAAGGAGGCUGCUCUGCUUGUAUUGAGUUUUUCCAGCAUUGAGGUCAUCUGCCUAGAAAUGACAUCAGCGUCCCCCCAGAUUGAUGCAGAACAAUUGUUCAUUCAUAGACACGGUUUCUCUGCAAACAGAGAGCAGAAAAACAAGGAGGCUCAGCAGAGCUCAGGGAGUUUUUUCCCUGGCCUAUGGCUUCUGUGUGCUGGAAAUCACAAGCUGCUUCAUCCCAGCAGGGGGUGACCGGUUACUGUUAUCUCAGUACUAAAUAACACAAAGGUGAAGAAUCCAUAAUAAUAUUUCUUCCACGUUUUCUGUGGUAGAUCUUUCAACUUGGGAUUAAGAUGACGGUGGAGCUGAGCUUCCAUAGCACAAACAGCCAUUUUCUGGAUGUUUUUUAUGACAAAAGGUGCCCCAUUUCUUUUGGGCUACAGUAACUUGAGUGCUUGUAUGAGAUACAGCUACCAAGAUACCAACCCAGUGUGAUUAUUAAUAGCUAACGCCUGACAUAUGUUAAAGAAAGGCUGUCAAAUCUGGCUGGCAACUACUCAGCUCUCAGUGGUGUAACUUGUCAAUGUGUGCUUUUUUCCACAGCGUAAAGCAGUUCUGGUGAGCUACAAAAUGCAUUUCGCAGGUUUGGUUGCAAGCAGAUGCCAGCCUCUUGCUGUUCAUCUGGAGAUACACACUGUGUGAACAGAGUAAAGAACUGAUUUCUAAAGGAAAUUAAAAACAAAAAACAACACAGCACACCAGGUUUGCUGUUUUCUGGAGGCAAUGCUGGAGGUGCAGUGAGUAGACGCUUUAUAAGACCCUGUGGUGUUUUGUUACUUAACAUUAUUUGGUUUCUUGAGAUCCCACAGUCCAAAGACUGCAGCUCAUCACUCAUCACAUACCAGUGAAAAGGCUGUUCUGACAUCAGUGGACCUGUCACAAGCAGAUACAGAUCUGUCCUAUUAAUGAGUUAGAAGGAAAAAACGCACGUAGUGCCAGAGACAAUUGCAAGGCUUUUAUUGUUUGCACAUUGUAUCAGACAUUUCUGCCAGGAAACAUUGCAUUUCCCACUAACUUCUGAGGGCUUGUUCCAAGAUGUUCUCAUCCACCACUUUUUGAGGAAGAGUCACUUUCAGUGCGGCGUUGUCUCUCAUUGCUUGGCAGAUCGUUUCAUACGCGUAGCCAUUACCCGACCAGCAGCGCCUGGCAACCUGUCAGACCAGAAAAUCAAUGAGUGCAAAACAAAAAAAUCACCCAUUUUUCUUGCCCCAUCCCAUUUUGCGUGAUAUCUGUGCAACACUGACACUCAAUUUCACCACAAUAAAUCCUUCAGCUCUCUGCCAGUUUCUAUUUAAAAGGGCAAAUUUCACUCUGUGCAUUUUCAAAAUACGAAAUUAAGAAGCCCAAGUCUGCCAGCAUAUGAGUGAAGCUCCACAGACAGGGAACUAUAAGCCCUUCUGCAGUUUGAUCUGUGUGCAAGAAGUUUGCUGGAUGAAGGAAAACACCAGGAACAAAAGGAAGGAGUACUUAGAAGGAAGCAAGUACUUCCUUGUAUUCAGUGCCUUAGAAUUCUCUGUUCUAUGAAUUGCGUAUCAGGGUCUGUAAGAUUCAGACACAAAAGUGGGCAAAAAAAAAAAUCCCCAGAUUCCAACUUAGCAAAAUAUUUAAGCAUUUGGUUAAUGUAAGGCUUAUAAGAAGUUCUCAGGAUCACAGCGAUAACAACUAGAAAUGACCUUUCAAGUCACCAAGCCGAUUUCCCUGCCACUCAGCUGUGACUAUUCCUGGCAGUGUAUUUUAAGGGUGCACUAUAGUUUCUUUUCAGCCUCGUAUAUAACAUGGGUAACGUUCCCCGACUGUACUUCCUAAACACGUAUGUGAAGGAGUGGGGCUUUUGCUUGCAAUAAAUCAGAGCAGCAAGA